rnacentral:rRNA from 1 species
UACAGAGGUCUCAAGCGUUGUUCGGAUUCAUUGGGCGUAAAGGGUGCGUAGGCGGCGCGGUAAGUCGGGUGUGAAAUUUCGAGGCUUAACUUCGAAACUGCAUUCGAUACUGCCGUGCUAGAGGACUGGAGAGGAGACUGGAAUUUACGGUGUAGCGGUGAAAUGCGUAGAUAUGCGGAGGAACACCGAUGGCGAAGGCAAUCCCCUGGGCCUGCACUGACGCUCAUGCACGAAAAGCGUGGGGAGCAAACAGG